CCCCUAAAAAUAUUUCGGAUCAUUACUAAAUUGUUUUUAGUAUUACAUGAGAUAUAAUAUAUACACUAUAAAGUGCUCAAAAUAUAUUCUAUUUGUUAGGUGCGAAUAGAUAAAAAUAUGGUUAAAAUAUUUAUUUUUGUUGUGCUUUUAUUUCUUACCCUGUUACUUGGUACAAAGAACGUUGAGGGUACGCCAUUUUUCAUCCUUUUCAUGUUUUCUUCUUUAUUUUGUAGUUCCUCCACGAUGUUUUAUUUUAGUAACAUAUUUUAUUAUCUUUUUUUUUUACAGCAAUAUGGAAAUGUGAAGUUGACGAUGAUUGUCCUAGAAGUACCGAAGACAUGCUUCCUUAUAAGUGGAAGUGCAUUAACCACAAAUGUAGAUUUGUUCUUUUUUUUACCGAAAACUAGUCCAAAGACCUGUGCAUUCACACGGAUCCCUUGAUUUUUAUGUAUUUAUUUAUUGGUAAAAUAGUCCAAUGACUAGAAAUUCCAUCUUAAAAAAGGAUAAGUGGAGUGUCAGGGGUUCGAACUCC
rnacentral:lncRNA from 1 species